AUGGGAUUCUAUAGUCUUCAUGAAUCUCUUCAUCAGGAGGUCACCAAACUUCUCUCCAGAUUCUUCUGGGCUGGAGAGAACAAUAAACAAAAAUAUCACAUGGUAAAGUGGUCUGAGAUAUGUAAGCCUAAAGACCAGGGAGGCCUUGGGGUCAUUUCUUCCAAGCGGAUGAAUAUUGCCCUCCUAUCCAAGUGGCUUUGGCGGAUUCAGACCGAUGAGGGCGGCCUGUGGCUUGAGAUUAUCCGCGCGAAGUACCUUCGCGGGCAGCCACUGGCUAUCGCCCCUAGAUCCGGUGGUUCCCAAUUCUGGCAAUCGGUGAUCCGUCUGAUGCCGGUCCUACGUAUUGGGACCUCCAUUAAAAUUGGUAACGGAACUGGCACCCUGUUCUAG
rnacentral:rRNA from 1 species